UCUAGAUUUAGAACCCCUGUGCCUGAGUCCGCGGGGUGUGGUGGGAUGCCCAACCCGGUUACCCGGGUCCCUCCUGGUCCCCAUGAACCACCAGGAGCGGACCCCAGCCCCCUCCCCGACCCGGCCCUCAACCCCUGUCCGGAGCUCCAUCCUGUCCCGGAUCCCAGCUCUGGUCCGGACUUUGACCCCAGUCAGGGCCUCGACCCCGGCCCGGACCCCGACCCCUAUUCGAACCCUGACCCCGGUCCGGACCCCGACUCCGGUCCGGACUCCGACUCUGGUGCGAAUCUCGACCCCAGUUCGGGCCUUGACCGUGGUCCGGACCUCGACUCCGGUCCGGACUCCGACUCCGGUCCAGACUCUGGUCUUGGACCAGACGCCGACUCCCGUCCAGUUCCCUGCACCAGCCCCAGCUGCAGCUCCGGCUCCAGCCUGGGUCUGGGCCGAGGUGCCCGGUGCGGAAUCCUUCCCGAACCCGCUGCCACCUUUGGGUCCACUCUCAGAACCUACUUCGGAGCCAAUUUUGUCUCCUGGCAAGGAUCCUGCGCCGAGCCCGAAGCGCGAUGAGGCCCCGGCCGGCACCGUAGCCAGGCCGGACCUGCAGCCUCACCCCGGCCUCACCCCACCGGCCGCUGACGGUCUCGGUCCCGCCCUGGAGGCCACCCCGAAGGCAGACCCAUCCCCUGGCUCCAUCAUGCCAUUUGUACCAGUUUCCACCGCUGCACUCGCCUCUGCCACCGAGAACUUCCACGCGGACAGAAUCGUGAUUCGAGUGACCUACUGUGGUCUCUGAAGCUAUGGCCUUUGGUACGUCCUACUGAAGAAGAGUCUGGAGCAGCAGUUUCCAAAUCUUCUGCACUUUGAGGACGAAAGAGCAGCCCAGGCUACGGGGGAGUUUGAAGUGUUUGUGGAGGGGAAACUUGUCCAUUCAAAGAAGCAAGGCGAUGGCUUUGUGGAUGAGGGCAGGCUGCAGAUGAUCGUGAACGCUAUCAACAAGGAGAUCAAGAGGAGGUAGCAGGCGGUGGUGGGGCUGAGGAGCUGCAGCAGGAUGAUGAUAAGGGCUGAAAUGUCACUGAGUCAGGCCCUUUUCUGAUGGUGGCUGGGCUGGGUGGAGCUGGGGAGGGCUGUAAGGAAAUACAGAACCUGCCUCCCGUGGAUGUGGCCUGACUGCGUCCGCUGUCACGGCACUCACAGGAAGUCACCUGCUACAGGGACCCCAGCAUCUCCCCCUUCUGACCCUGGGGAGCCCUCGGGGAGCCCAGCCCGUCCCUCUCUUUGCCUCCCUGCCACCAUGGGAUGCUGAUGUCCUCCGCCACAGGCUCCUGCCAUGAGGUACAGGGACAUCGCAGGGCCCACUGGCCGUGGGGUGAAAGCUCUGAAGCUGUGAGCCAAAAGCACUCCUGCUUAUAAGCCGAGUCUCAGGUCAGAAAGAGCGCUGAGGAAAUCUCAACAACCAGCCUGGAAGAAGAAUCUCUAAAAAGCAAUUGCCUAAGAUCUGUGCUAGGAAAUCUGAACUCAAAUUCUCAAUGCAAACAAUGCUGAUAAAAGAGGUCUAAAACUUCUGACAAAUUUCAGAUACAUACUGCUGUUAAAUGUGGAUGACAGCACAUUUUGUCUCUAGAUAAAAAUUCAAGAUCACUCCAAGACAGUUGUCUG